CAGUCGCCGCGGUAAUACGGAGGGUGCAAGCGUUAAUCGGAAUUACUGGGCGUAAAGCGCACGCAGGCGGUCUGACAAGUCAGAUGUGAAAUCCCCGGGCUUAACCUGGGAACUGCAUUUGAAACUGUCAGGCUGGAGUCUUGUAGAGGGGGGUAGAAUUCCAGGUGUAGCGGUGAAAUGCGUAGAGAUCUGGAGGAAUACCGGUGGCGAAGGCGGCCCCCUGGACAAAGACUGACGCUCAGGUGCGAAAGCGUGGGGAGCAAACAGGAUUAGAUACCCGAGUAGUCCCUGUCCUCUUAUA
rnacentral:rRNA from 1 species